UACAGAGGGUGCGAGCGUUUGUUCGGAAUUAUUGGGCGUAAAGGGCGCGUAGGCGGUGCGGUAAGUCACCUGUGAAAUCUCCUGGCUCAACUGGGAGCUUGCAGGCGAAACUGCCGUGCUGGAGUGUGGGAGAGGUGCGUGGAAUUCCUGGUGUAGCGGUGAAAUGCGUAGAUAUCAGGAGGAACACCUGUGGCGAAAGCGGCGCACUGGACCACAACUGACGCUGAGGCGCGAAAGCUAGGGGAGCAAACAGG
rnacentral:rRNA from 1 species